UGCAGUCGAACGAUGAUCCCAGCUUGCUGGGGGAUUAGUGGCGAACGGGUGAGUAACACGUGAGUAACCUGCCCUUAACUCUGGGAUAAGCCUGGGAAACUGGGUCUAAUACCGGAUAUGACUCCUCAUCGCAUGGUGGGGGGUGGAAAGCUUUUUGUGGUUUUGGAUGGACUCGCGGCCUAUCAGCUUGUUGGUGAGGUAAUGGCUCACCAAGGCGACGACGGGUAGCCGGCCUGAGAGGGUGACCGGCCACACUGGGACUGAGACACGGCCCAGACUCCUACGGGAGGCAGCAGUGGGGAAUAUUGCACAAUGGGCGAAAGCCUGAUGCAGCGACGCCGCGUGAGGGAUGACGGCCUUCGGGUUGUAAACCUCUUUCAGUAGGGAAGAAGCGAAAGUGACGGUACCUGCAGAAGAAGCGCCGGCUAACUACGUGCCAGCAGCCGCGGUAAUACGUAGGGCGCAAGCGUUAUCCGGAAUUAUUGGGCGUAAAGAGCUCGUAGGCGGUUUGUCGCGUCUGCCGUGAAAGUCCGGGGCUCAACUCCGGAUCUGCGGUGGGUACGGGCAGACUAGAGUGAUGUAGGGGAGACUGGAAUUCCUGGUGUAGCGGUGAAAUGCGCAGAUAUCAGGAGGAACACCGAUGGCGAAGGCAGGUCUCUGGGCAUUAACUGACGCUGAGGAGCGAAAGCAUGGGGAGCGAACAGGAUUAGAUACCCUGGUAGUCCAUGCCGUAAACGUUGGGCACUAGGUGUGGGGGACAUUCCACGUUUUCCGCGCCGUAGCUAACGCAUUAAGUGCCCCGCCUGGGGAGUACGGCCGCAAGGCUAAAACUC
rnacentral:rRNA from 1 species